rnacentral:rRNA from 1 species
AGUGGGGAAUAUUGCACAAUGGGCGAAAGCCUGAUGCAGCAACGCCGCGUGAGGGAUGAAGGCCUUCGGGUUGUAAACCUCUUUUAUCAGGGAAGAAGCGAAAGUGACGGUACCUGAAGAAAAAGCACCGGCUAACUACGUGCCAGCAGCCGCGGUAAUACGUAGGGUGCAAGCGUUGUCCGGAAUUAUUGGGCGUAAAGAGCUCGUAGGCGGUUUGUCGCGUCUGCUGUGAAAAUCCAAGGCUCAACCUUGGACCUGCAGUGGGUACGGGCAGACUAGAGUGCGGUAGGGGAGAUGGGAAUUCCUGGUGUAGCGGUGGAAUGCGCAGAUAUCAGGAGGAACACCAAUGGCGAAGGCACAUCUCUGGGCCGUAACUGACGCUGAGGAGCGAAAGCGUGGGGAGCGAACAGGAUU